CCUUCGAUAGCCUCAGUUGGUAGAGCGGAGGACUGUAGAUCCUUAGGUCGCUGGUUCAAAUCCGGCUCGAAGGA